GACGAACGCUGGCGGCGUGCUUAACACAUGCAAGUCGAACGGAAAGGCCCUGCUUGCAGGGUACUCGAGUGGCGAACGGGUGAGUAACACGUGGGUGAUCUGCCCUGCACUUCGGGAUAAGCCUCGGCAACUGGGUCUAAUACCGGCUAGGAGCCAUUUUUAGUGUGAUGGUUGGAAAGUUUUUUCGGUGUAGGAUGAGCUCGCGGCCUAUCAGCUUGUUGGUGGGGUAAUGGCCUACCAAGGCGGCGACGGGUAGCCGGACUGAGGGGGUGGACGGCCAUAUUGGGACUGAGAUACGGCACAGACUCCGACGGGAGGCAGCAGUGGGGAAUAUUGCACAAUGGGCGCAAGCCUGAUGCAGCGACGCCGCGUGGGGGAUGACGGCCUUCGGGUUGUAAACUCCUUUCGCUAGGGACGAAGCUUUUUGUGACGGUACCUAGAGAAGAAGCACCGGCUAACUACGUG
rnacentral:rRNA from 1 species